rnacentral:rRNA from 1 species
UACGGGGGGAGCAAGCGUUGUUCGGAUUUACUGGGCGUAAAGGGCGCGUAGGCGGCCAGCACAAGUCAGUUGUGAAAUCUCCGAGCUUAACUCGGAAAGGUCAACUGAUACUGUGCGGCUAGAGUGCAGAAGGGGCAACUGGAAUUCUUGGUGUAGCGGUGAAAUGCGUUGAUAUCAUCAGGAACACCGGUGGCGAAAGCGGCUUACUGGGUCUCUUCUGACGCUGAGGUACGAAAGCUAGGGUAGCGAACGGG